rnacentral:lncRNA from 1 species
AAGUCGUGACAACAGACACCGCUCCACUCUCCGUAACAAACUCCACAUGGCCCUGAACGGCCCCUGACGCCACUACUCUCCGUAACAAACUCCGUGUGGCCCUGAACGGUCCACUACUAGGCAGUUACAGAUGUCGCUGUCAAUCAAUUACGUUCUUUGUCUAUAAAAAAGGAUCCCUAGAUACGUUCUUCUCUAAGCUCUAAACUCUAUCUCGAAACUCUGUUAAAAUUUUCACUCGAGCGCUCCAUUUCUGUUGAAGCAGAGUAUUGAUUUGAGCAUCGGAGGGUCUUGUCGAAGCACCCCCAACUCUGGUUUAGACUUCCCUUGUAGGUCUCGACGGUGGUCGUGGUCAUCUCAACUCCAGCUUCUCCAACGUCGGCAGAAUUCUGCACCAACAGAAUUGACGCCAGAGGAAGGGCCUGUGUCUUUGCAGUACCCUUGUUCUUAAAGGAGUACUCAACGGGACUGUCUCCGGUCACCUUCUCCGACAUCUACUUUUCCUUCUCCUGCCAGAUCUCCAUCUGAUGCCUCCCCGAAAGGCAUCCACCAGACGAUCCACGACCUCUGCGGUCAGAUCCCAGUGAGCUCUGCAAACUCUGGCCUCAUCUUCAGUUUCCCAGGCUCCUCCUCCUCCGACAACAGCAAUCGACAUGGAGCAGUUCGACUUGCUAGUUCAGCAGGUCAGGGGCCUCAUCAAAGCAAUGCGGGCCAUACAGUAGCAGUCGCAACGAUCGCAGGCAUCAGUGC